rnacentral:lncRNA from 1 species
AGACCUGGGGACAUCAGGUAGAGAGACUCAUUCAGACCUGGGGACAUCAGGUAGAGAGACUCAUUCAGACCUGGGACUAAUUCAGACCUGGGGACAUCAGGUAGAGAGACUCAUUCAGACCUGGGGACAUCAGGUAGAGAGACUCAUUCAGACCUGGGGACAUCAGGUAGAGAGACUCAUUCAGACCUGGGGACAUCAGGUAGGAAGAGAAAGCAGAAAUGUUUUGGCCCUCAGGACCUGAAUAAUACUUUGACAUUGAAACACAACAGCUAUACAUAACUAGGUGAAAGCAGACCUGACGCAACACACACACACACACAAUAAGCACACGCACACACACACACACACACACACACACACACACAAUAAGCACACUGUGGUAAGACUGUUUUGGGUUGCAUUUUGUCUGCAUUUAGCCAAUCUGUAACAAUCAGAAGAAUAAAAUACACAUCCAAACAUCUUGACCUUUCAACAAACAGCAAGAUGGAAAUGAACCUUGUGAAGGAAACAGCAACAUAAAGUGUUUUAAUAGGAGGUAACUGGCAGAAUAAAGGAAACUCCAACAGUGUUUUAAUAGGAGGUCGGGUCGUCCACCAGGUAACUGGCAGAAUAAAGGAAACUCCAGGUCCACCAACCACCAGGUAACUGGCAGAAUAAAGGAAACUCCAACAGUGUUUUAAUAGGAGGUCGGGUCGUCCACCAGGUAACUGGCAGAAUAAAGGAAACUCCAGGUCCUCCACCAACCACCAGGUAACUGGGAGAAUAAAGGAAACUCCAACAGUGUUUUAAUAGGACGUCGGGUCCUCCACCAACCAGAACAGCUUUAAUACACCUUGACAUCGAUUCUACAAGUGUCUGGGAAGUCUAUCGGAGGGAUGAGACGCCAUUCUUCCACGAGGAAAUUCCAUCAUUUGGUGUUUUGUUGAUGGUAUUGAAGCCACCUUGCAGCCAUUUUGGCUCUCCUUAAUGAUGUGUAUAAACCCUGGAUGGCUGACAGGGGGGUGCUGUAUUGAAGCCACCGUGCAGCCAUUUUGGCUCUCCUUAAUGAUGUGUAUAAACCCUGGAUGGCUGACAGGGGGGGGGCUGUAUUGCAGCCAUUUUGGCUCUCCUUAAUGAUGUGUAUAAACCCUGGAUGGCUGACAGGGGGGUGCUGUAUUGAAGCCACCGUGCAGCCAUUUUGGCUCUCCUUAAUGAUGUGUAUAAACCCUGGAUGGCUGACAGGGGGGUGCUGUAUUGCAGCCAUUUUGGCUCUCCUUAAUGAUGUGUAUAAACCCUGGAUGGCUGACAGGGGGGGGGGGGGCUGUAUUGAAGCCACCGUGCAGCCAUUUUGGCGCUCCUCCAUUGUAAAUAAUAUGUUGGACGAUAUAGAAAUCCAUUUACUAAAUGUCAUUACAUUAAUUUCUGACAUGUUUAUUCCAUUAAGACACCGUAAUGUAUAAUUUUACAUAUGUGAGCUAAACUAAAAUAUUUUUUUAGCGCCCCCCCCAACCCCUUUAAAAAUACUAAUGUUACUGUCCCCCACUACAAACAACAACAAAUACUUAAAUACAUGUAAUGUUGUUCUUGAAACCUUUAAUUGUAAUGCUGUAAACUUUCCAUUCAAUCCUAUGGAGGACUGUCAAAAUGGCCG